GAUGAACGCUGGCGGCGUGGAUAAGGCAUGCAAGUCGAACGGCAGCACGGGAGCAAUCCUGGUGGCGAGUGGCGAACGGGUGAGUAGAGCAUCGGAACGUGCCCAGUCGUGGGGGAUAGCCCGGCGAAAGCCGGAUUAAUACCGCAUACGACCUGAGGGUGAAAGCGGGGGACCUUUCGGGGCCUCGCGCGAUUGGAGCGGCCGAUGUCAGAUUAGGUAGUUGGUGGGGUAAAGGCCCACCAAGCCGACGAUCUGUAGCUGGUCUGAGAGGACGACCAGCCACACUGGGACUGAGACACGGCCCAGACUCCUACGGGAGGCAGCAGUGGGGAAUUUUGGACAAUGGGCGCAAGCCUGAUCCAGCCAUGCCGCGUGCGGGAAGAAGGCCUUCGGGUUGUAAACCGCUUUUGUCGGGGAAGAAAUGCUCCGGGAUAAUACCCUGGGGAGAUGACGGUACCCGAAGAAUAAGCACCGGCUAACUACGUGCCAGCCGCCGCAGUAA
rnacentral:rRNA from 1 species